rnacentral:lncRNA from 1 species
CUUUGAAACGCAGAGGAGUGAUCUUGACACGCUCUUGAAGUUUGUCACUUUGGGCAGGUGUGCCGAGAGCCGAUGCCCAAGGCAACGUGGAGGGAAGCGUAUCAGGACGUGUGGGCGACAGCCCGUGCACCUCACCUUCCAAUUGCCCAGAGACACAGAAGUAGCUGUUGCGCACUUUAACUUCUCCACGUGAGCUCUGUGGGGGACAGGCAGCUCCUCUAUCCUGCUGUGCUUUGGUUUUCUUUCUGCUAAUCCUCUAUUUCAGUUUCUUACAGAUCCAGUGGGAGAAACGCCAAGAAGACGCCACAAUUCCAGUGAAGGGUAAAGGAGACACUCAUCCUCUGGGGUACCCAAGGGCCAAGUAGUGAGGAAGCCUCCAGUCUUUGAGAUUCUCUGGGCUUGUUCUGUUGUUGAGCUGCCUGAAGGAGCACCCUAGCCUUCUUGUCACCCACUCUAGUCUUGAUCACGCCCUCCCUCAGGGGCACUUGACUGGACUUCCUCCUUGUGCAGCCCCUAUUAUGAUGUCAUCUCCUCAGCCUCAACCACUUCUGCCAGAAAAGACUACACAAGUUCCCCAAAUAUCUAUAGAGUCAGAUAAGGGGAGGCUGACAUGAGCUGAGCAGCUGCUGGGGCAGGCAGCGAGGGGAUGGAGAUGCAAAGAUGGUACCCUGACGCCCCUCUCACGUCUCCUUAGAACUGGGAGUCUUCCGAAGUUGUGACAGAGUAACACUCACCAAAUCCAGUGCCGAGGCAAAUUUUCCUGGGAUAUUGGAGCUUGUAAUUUGAAGAACUGGUCUUGUUAUCCGUUCAUACAAUAAAUACGUCCUAAGUGUCACCUAUGACACAACUUCCCACUGCGUGUGUCCAAGCGGUC